AACGAACGCUGGCGGCAUGCCUAACACAUGCAAGUCGAACGAGACCUUCGGGUCUAGUGGCGCACGGGUGCGUAACGCGUGGGAACCUGCCCUUAGGUUCGGAAUAACUCCCCGAAAGGGGUGCUAAUACCGGAUAAUGUCUUCGGACCAAAGAUUUAUCGCCUUUGGAUGGGCCCGCGUUGGAUUAGCUAGUUGGUAGGGUAAAAGCCUACCAAGGCGACGAUCCAUAGCUGGUCUGAGAGGAUGAUCAGCCACACUGGGACUGAGACACGGCCCAGACUCUUACGGGAGGCAGCAGUGGGGAAUAUUGGACCAUGGGCGAAAGUCUGAUCCAGCAAUGCCGGGUGAGUGAUGAAGGCCUUAGGGUUGUAAAGCUCUUUUACCCGGGAUGAUAAUGACAGUACCGGGAGAAUAAGCGCCGGCUAACUCCGUG
rnacentral:rRNA from 1 species